GACGAACGCUGGCGGCGUGCCUAAUACAUGCAAGUAGAACGCUGAAGGAGGAGCUUGCUCUUCUGGAUGAGUUGCGAACGGGUGAGUAACGCGUAGGUAACCUGCCUGGUAGCGGGGGAUAACUAUUGGAAACGAUAGCUAAUACCGCAUAACAGUAGAUGUUGCAUGACAUUUACUUAAAAGGUGCAAUUGCAUCACUACCAGAUGGACCUGCGUUGCAUUAGCUAGUUGGUGGGGUAACGGCUCACCAAGGCGACGAUACAUAGCCGACCUGAGAGGGUGAUCGGCCACACUGGGACUGAGACACGGCCCAGACUCCUACGGGAGGCAGCAGUAGGGAAUCUUCGGCAAUGGACGGAAGUCUGACCGAGCAACGCCGCGUGAGUGAAGAAGGUUUUCGGAUCGUAAAGCUCUGUUGUAAGAGAAGAACGAGUGUGAGAGUGGAAAGUUCACACUGUGACGGUAUCUUACCAGAAAGGGACGGCUAACUACGUG
rnacentral:rRNA from 1 species